GUUUAGUGUGUUUUGUGUGGUGUUGACAAUGGUAGGGUCACACACACACACUCUUAUUCUCUCCCGGGAUUCCCUCUCCCACUGUCUCUUCUCUGUUUCUUUUCUCUCUCUCUCUCUCCCGAGCUCCAUUCAUUCUUCUUCCUUCUGAAAACGUACGGACAACACACACAUCACCCAAACCUUGAUGGAUCGAAGGAACCAAGGGCAUUUUUGGACUCGUGAAGCUCGUACGAGUACAACCAUACCAUUUUCAGCUUGUAGAUGUCUUAGUGAGGUCCCAAGGAGCCUCGGAAUACUUCGUUGGAGAAGUUUGGACGUCGAGAUCAUUGUGGUCAAAGUUGGCCGGAGCUUUCGAGGCUUUUUCCGGAUAAUCCACGGCGAGUUAGGGGUCGAGGCAGAAAUUCCGGCAAAACACCCACCUCCGGCGAAACCAGUCCGGCGACGCGAGGAAGAAGACGCGCGCGUGGGCAGCGCGUAUACUGGGCGCGUGGGGCGCGUGGGACCUCCAAAUUGAGUUCUGAAAAUUGUCACGCGUUCGUGACGUCGUGUAGAUCACCGUGGUAUAUUCACACACUCAAAUCGAGCAACGUAUGAGAAAGUUAUUGAUGAAUGUUUGGUGUAUGCGCGUUAAAUAACGAUAAUUUGGUUACUUUUUGUAUAGGUGAAAAUUAUACAGAAGAAGAAUGUAACCAAUCUAGGGGAGGCUCAGGGACCCACGAGACGUCGAUGUGAUCAGUUUAAGAUAUCAGAGCUUGGUGGCUACGAGGAAUCCAACGGUGUUCUGACAGAAUGGACAAAAAUUAGGACUCACUUUUGGGUGUUUCAUCUUAGAAAUUGUAUCUUUAAAGCUUCCGUACUGUGUAAAUGGUUACGUCACUCUCACGUGACGGCCAGCAUGCCCUCCUUCGGGACGGGGUGUGUCAACUAGACCAUCAAGGAAGCGCCGAACAAGCUUUCCAAAAUUAAGGUUGUGAGGAUGUUAGUCGCCUAAAUGUUAACGGUGAUGUCCCAGAAGUCGUUGCCAAUCAGCCAAGUCGUCACUAAAGGUGAUCUCGACUCAGGUUCAAUUCGGUGAAGGGUUUCGAAGUCUACAAAGGUGGGUGUAUUGAGAUUUUUUAUUUUUUAUUUUUUAGAGAAUAGACAGGGAAGGAGGUAGAGGAACGUGGACUGGGAUCGGAGGUGAUUACAUGACUGUGUUUUAGGGUUGACAACUUUUUAUUAACUAUUAAAUUAUUAAACCUAUUUGUAAUUUUUUUUUUAAUUUAAUUAGACUUGUGUGAUCCAUUUAUAUGUCAUAUCAGCACAUAAUAAAAAUUUUGACAGAAUUUGAUGUCGUGGGUCAAUUUUAGAGACCAAUUUAACGUCACGGUCAAUUUCAAUGAUCAAUUGUGAUUAAAAAAAAAAAGACUUAUGAGACCUAUAUAUGUAUCACAUCAGCACUUAAUGAAAAUUUUAACAAAAUUGUGAUGGAAUGACCACGUUGAUUUGUGACACAU